AAUCCGAGUUGGAACUCUUCUCUCUUGCGAGUCAUGGCUUAAGAAUGAGGUUGUAGAAUUGUUCCUUGCAGGACAAAAAAGAUUAAAGUCUUGUGGGAAGAAUGAACUUGGUUAUGCUGAGAUAUGAAGUCAUAUUGUAAAGACAAUAUGAACAGAUGUGAUGAGAAACAAAGAUGGAACAGAUUCGGCCAUUUCUUUAGACAGGUUCACUCUACUUCUCACGGAGUUAUUUUGGAAAAAAUCUUGGUUAUACUUCGACGUCGGUUUAAGCCCAACGUUCCGGUUUGAUCUCAGCAUCGACGUCGGUUUAAUUUAAGUAUAAAACACAGUGUUUUAACACCAGUGGCAUUCCAUUGUAAUAUUUGUGCAAC